UACGUAGGGACCAAGCGUUGUUCGGAUUUACUGGGCGUAAAGGGCGCGUAGGCGGCGUGGUAAGUCACUUGUGAAAUCUCUGAGCUUAACUCAGAACGGCCAAGUGAUACUGCUGUGCUAGAGUGCAGAAGGGGCAAUCGGAAUUCUUGGUGUAGCGGUGAAAUGCGUAGAUAUCAAGAGGAACACCUGAGGUGAAGACGGGUUGCCGGGCUGACACUGACGCUGAUGCGCGAAAGCCAGGGGAGCAAACGGG
rnacentral:rRNA from 1 species